rnacentral:rRNA from 1 species
GAUGAACGCUGGCGGCGUACCUAAUACAUGCAAGUCGAGCGAACAGACGAGGAGCUUGCUCCUCUGACGUUAGCGGCGGACGGGUGAGUAACACGUGGAUAACCUACCUAUAAGACUGGGAUAACUUCGGGAAACCGGAGCUAAUACCGGAUAAUAUAUUGAACCGCAUGGUUCAAUAGUGAAAGACGGUUUUGCUGUCACUUAUAGAUGGAUCCGCGCCGCAUUAGCUAGUUGGUAAGGUAACGGCUUACCAAGGCGACGAUGCGUGGCCGACCUGAGAGGGUGAUCGGCCACACUGGAACUGAGACACGGUCCAGACUCCUACGGGAGGCAGCAGUAGGAAAUCUUCCGCAAUGGGCGAAAGCCUGACGGAGCAACGCCGCGUGAGUGAUGAAGGUCUUCGGAUCGUAAAACUCUGUUAUUAGGGAAGAACAAAUGUGUAAGUAACUAUGCACGUCUUGACGGUACCUAAUCAGAAAGCCACGGCUAACUACGUG